AACGAACGCUGGCGGCAGGCCUAACACAUGCAAGUCGAACGGUCCCUUCGGGGUUAGUGGCGGACGGGUGAGUAACACGUGGGAACGUGCCUUUAGGUUCGGAAUAGCUCCUGGAAACGGGUGGUAAUGCCGAAUGUGCCCUUCGGGGGAAAGAUUUAUCGCCUUUAGAGCGGCCCGCGUCUGAUUAGCUAGUUGGUGAGGUAAUGGCUCACCAAGGCGACGAUCAGUAGCUGGUCUGAGAGGAUGACCAGCCACAUUGGGACUGAGACACGGCCCAAACUCCUACGGGAGGCAGCAGUGGGGAAUCUUGCGCAAUGGGCGAAAGCCUGACGCAGCCAUGCCGCGUGGAUGAUGAAGGUCUUAGGAUUGUAAAAUCCUUUCACCGGUGAAGAUAAUGACUGUAGCCGGAGAAGAAGCCCCGGCUAACUUCGUGCCAGCCGCCGCGGUAACAC
rnacentral:rRNA from 1 species